rnacentral:rRNA from 1 species
UACGUAGGGGGCAAGCGUUAUCCGGAUUUACUGGGUGUAAAGGGAGCGUAGGCGGUUUAGCAAGUCAGAAGUGAAAGCCCGCAGCUCAACUGGGGGACUGCUUUUGAAACUGUUAAACUAGAUUGCAGGAGAGGUAAGUGGAAUUCCUAGUGUAGCGGUGAAAUGCGUAGAUAUUAGGAGGAACACCAGUGGCGAAGGCGGCUUUCUGGACUGAAACUGACGCUGAGGCUCGAAAGCGUGGGGAGCAAACAGG